UCAAGGCACGAGGUUAAAACAAACUUUGCCUCCGAGUGAAACAAUUUUUUUUUCACCAAACCAACACGAGGAAACUACUAUCUAUAAAAUACCAAAAAUCAAAUUAAAUCAAAUCCAAAUGAACGUUAUAAAAAAAUAUAUAAAACAUAAUUUAUAAGUCAAUUCUACUAGCUAACAUAAGGAAGCAAUUCAAAAUUUGCAUCUGAUUACUUUGCCACGUGUGGAUAAAAUGCAACUUUCUCAUUAGUUUUUGAACAAUCAAGAGGGCCUUUAAAAUACAAUCAUAUUUUCAUUUGUUUGAAAUGAAUUUGUUUCUAUGAAAUUAAAAUUAUCUUAAGAUGCCUGGUUUUACUAUUAAUUUGUUAAAUUAAAAUCAUUAAGUUCUAAUUCUAAUGUAAUGUAUAAUUGUCAAUCCUACUCUUGUGCAAUAUUUUGGUGAGAAUUGCUUGUUAUCAUAAAUCAUAACAGUAACGGGCUUAGUCUCUCAUAUAACAUGCAAUUCAAAUUAUUUAGUAUAAUAAAACAUACAAAACAAGCUGUCAUUGAACCAACCAUGCAGUACGCGACAUAGACUGGCGGCGAUAACAGUGUUUUGAGCGCCAGAUAAGUGAAUACCUAUCCAUAAAUAAACUAAUUUAACCAUGUGGAUUAAGCGUCUUACUUUCGAGUCAUUCAAUAUUAUCUUUGGAAAGAGUACCGGGCAAGCCAGUCGCACACUUUCCAAUGCCAGUUAUCUGCACAACCCCGGCUCAGAGCCCUUGACUUACGCGACCAUAGGCCAGGCACUUGAGGCCAGCGUGCAUCGCUACCCUGGCCGAGUAGCCGUGCGCUCUGUGUACGAAGACCGCACCCUCACUUAUGAGCAGCUACUGGCUGAAGCAGAUGCUUUGGGCUGUGCCCUAAGAUCUCGAGGGCUGGAGAAGGGUGACCGGGUGGGCAUCUGGUCGCACAACAACGCUGCUUGGAUCGUCGCGCUGGUCGCGGCGGCUAGGGUCGGCCUUAUCUCCGUAGCUUUAAAUCCAGUGUACGAGAAACCUGAAUUAACAUACUGUAUUAAAAAAACAGAGUUGAAAGCCAUCAUUAUAGGUGAUACUUUAGAGAAGGCUAACUAUUUUAAGACAAUAGAACAGCUAGUACCAGAAGUACAUCGUCAAAAAGCAGGAUCCAUAGAGUCCAGAGAAUUUCCUAGUUUGAAAACCAUCAUCACGUGUGAUAAAAACGCAUUACCAGGAACAUUCAUGUACGACUCCCUGGUAGCAAACAGGCAUGAUGCAUCACGGUACGGCGCUCAAGUAGACCCAGAUGACGGCGCCAUCAUCCACUUUACAUCUGGAACUACUGGUGAUCCAAAAGCAGCAUUGGACUCGCAUUUCGGAGUAGUGAAUAAUUCUUACUUUAUGGGCAAAAGGCAAAACCUGCACGAAGGCCAUGAAAUCACGUGUGUUCAGUCUCCGUUGUUCCAUGCAUUGGGUUCGGUCAUCACGGUUGCCUCUGCGCUCCGGCACGGGACGUCGCUGGUGCUGGCGGCACCUACGUACAACCUCGAGGCAAAUAUGAAAGCUCUGCUAUCUGAGAAAUGUACCGUGAUAAAUGGCACGCCGACGAUGUUUGUGGACCUUGUGUCCCUGGCGAGGAAGAGGGGAGUGAGCACCAACCUGCGCGUGGCGCUGAACGGCGGCGCGCCGUGCAGCCCGCAGCUCAUACGGGAUAUCAAGCAACACCUCAACGCCCGCACUGUUUCGAGUUUAUUCGGAAUGACAGAGACUACAGCAGCUGUGUUUCAGUCGCUGCCCGACGAUAGCACUGAUUUGGUUGCUGGGACAGUCGGCUACAUACAAGACCAUGUUGAAACUAAGGUAGUCGACGAACAAGGUAAAGUGGUGCCAUUUGGCAGUUCCGGGGAGCUGAUGGUGAGGGGAUACAACACCAUGAUGGGCUACUGGGGGGAGACGGAGAAGACCAGGCAGACUUUAAGGGAAGAUGGAUGGCUACACACAGGAGACAAGUUUACUCUGAGCGAAGAUGGUUAUGGGCGGAUAGUGGGUCGUCUGAAGGACAUCAUAGUGCGCGGCGGGGAGAACAUCGCGCCUAAGGAGAUCGAAGACCUGCUCAACACGCAUCCUGACAUCGUCGAGAGCCAAGUACCUACCUACUCAUUUGAUAUCUAUGAACCAUUAGUGCGGAUUACGUUGCACAUAUCAUGCUAUAGUCGUCAUGUAUGAGUCGUUACGUGAUGGAGCCAGGGGGGACGGGGAGUCAAGCCGAACCUCACUAAAUCUCACCUGGAGGAGAGAAAGGGUUUCGGUAAAUAUCACUUAAUUUUUUUUGGGCAUAAAAUAAUGUUAAAAUUUAAGAAAGGUAUAACUGUGAUUUUAGAUCACGAUCUAAAAAUCUCAUACUAAUAGUAUUAAGACUAAGUCUUUAUAGUCCCAAUAAGAUUAAUAAUUAUAAUAAAUCAAAAUGUGUUUUUUAUUUUAUUAAUCUAAUGCAUUUAUUUAUUUAUUAUCUACGUUUAUUUAUUCAGACAACAAGAUCCACAAAUGUGUUAGUAUUAUUAAAGCUAAAACCUAAAAUCUAUGUUAAUAUUCGUAACUAAUGACAACAUAUUUUUAAUUUAAUGUUGCAUUAUUGAGCACUCAUUCCUUACAGCUAAUGUCUUCAGGAGGCUGUUCGGACUGUCACGUAUUCUGUUCAGAAGCGAUGCCAUCUUUUUCAGCGAUUGAUAAUAAACAUAGAUAACGAACUAGCUCUGCAAAAUGACCCCACACACAUUGUGCCAAAGCAGGCGUAGGCGGGGCGUCAACAUUGUGCCGCGGAGCUAUUUAGUUCGCAAAUGGCGGCCCAUUGUCACAGUCAUAGUAAGAAGUAUUAAAAUUAUAUCUUUAAUAAAAUAAAUAUGCCUUAUUGUGCGGAUAAAUGAUGUGCUACUCGUUCCAACAAACACUGGAAAAAAUAUGGGAUUACCUUUCACGUAUAGUUUAGCUAGGAUCAUAUUAUUUUGAUUUCUCUUGAUCAAAACAGGUUUCAUAUGGGGAUGAUGUUAUGCAUUUUAAACAAUCGUUUAUAUUAAGAAACUUUCAUUUUAAAUUUGUUCAGGUUGUUGUUUUGAUAAUUUAAAUUCGUGAUAGUAAAUACGAAACGUCGUUGUAGGUGGCGCUUUUUUAUGUGUAGAUACAUUUUUACUAAGUAAAGAUCUACGCUGCUAUUUACAACUUUUCGUUAAAUUCGCGGAAGGCUGGACCGAUUUGGCUAAUUUUGGUAUUGGAAUAUUUCUAGGUGCAGGGACGGUUUGAACGGUGAAAAAUAUGGAAAGAAUGCAAGUGUGGGUGUUAAACCUACCUACGUGGAUCGUAAAUAAUAAUGCGCACACUUAAUAAACAAUAUGUAAUGUCCGAAAGUACAGUACAGUUAAAAAGUUAUUAUUAUUUAAGUUAGUAUUAAACACAUGCGGUUAGCACAGGCACACACAGUUCACCGAAACACUAGUUAGGUUCAUGCACCAUAUCAUUUAUAUUAGUCCGUGAAUCCAUAGGUUAGUAUCACGAUAAGCUACUAGUCAAGUACGCGGAUAGGAAAGCUGACGAUGCGCGAGCGAUCGAUCCCGUGACGUAGGUAACACUGCUGAAGGACGCGGGCGUCGCGACGCACGCGUUACAGGCGCGAGCGGCGGUGGUCGUUGCCAGCCCACGCGCCGCCAUGUUGUGGGCUUUCGUGAGUGAGUCCACACGAAAAAGGUUUUGUCACUCUGUUUUGUUUGCGUACUUUGAUGUGGAGUAGGCCACACAAGGAAAAUAGUAAAAACAAUAAUGAUAUUUUCCCAUACAAACUGUUUCUACGACGACGUAUUCAAUACGAAUUUCUGCAUGAACGACACAAUGUAUUAAUUGGUUCGGAGGCUUAAUUGCCUUUAAACACGUGCGACAAACGAACAAAUAAUAAGCCUGUAUAUUAAUACUCUUUAAAAUAAAAUAAUAAAUAAUCAUACAAAAAUAUUACAUUUAAAACUUUAGUACCUGGGCGACCGAGCUUUGCUAUUUAUUGUAAUAUGGUGGUGUAUAGGUGAUAAUCUACAUAAACUUAAAAAGUAAAAUGUGAACUGACAAUUAUUAUUGUUUACAAUCGAUUUUAACCUUACAGCACUUGUCACAGAGUAACGCCAUCUAUUGUCAAUUUCUCUUAUUACAUAGGUCAUUUUUUUACUAAAUUAAACUUGUCUAAAACAAUAAAAAUUUAAAAAUUAUAUAUAAACUUGAACAUAUAAAAAAAACAAAAGUUAGUCACCGGGCGAGAUUCGAACCCGUAACACUCGAUUAGCAGUCCGCGUCUUAACCCGUUGGACUAGACGGACAGUGGCCGGCGACACGAAAUUAGCAACCAUAUUCUGCGUCGAAAGAAAAACGCAUGAAAACUUGAAAACACGCGUUUUCCCAAACAUAAGAAUAAUCUAGAUAGAUUGUAUACCCCCAAAAACCCCCAUAUACCAAAUUUCAGCGAAAUCGUUAGAGCCGUUUCCGAGAUCACAGAAAUAUAUAUAUAAAUAUAUAUACAAGAAUUGCUCGUUUAAAGGUAUAAGAUAUAUCGCAUGAAACCGUCUACUUAGAGUUGGUUGCGAUUGUCAUGUAUUUUCAAGUGUCAAUGCUAGAGCCAAUCACAGCGCCUUAUUUUAUAAUACACCAAUCGUAGUUUGGGUGGUUUAAAUUGACUAAUCAUGGUCAAACGAAGUUUCAUCGAAGAAAACAAGACCUAAACUUUGACGAGUUGCAAUUGGUUCGUUAUGAGUAGGUACUGCGUGUUUUAAUAGUGGGGCCACUUUUACGCUGAUAUUUUGUUUGACGUUACUCUUCCAUGUUUUUUUCAUUCGCUGAUCUUUUUACGCAGCACAGCAUUGAAACUGUCUACGCGUGCUUCCGCGAACAUGGUGGAUGCACUGCAGAACCGUGACAGCCCCAGCAGCGCCCUGAAAGCAUUAUUAUACUGGACGCGCAGAGAGCUGAGCGACCGUUGCGUACAGCCUACCCAUAGUGCAGCCGAGUAGGUACAGCAGCGAAGUGCAGUAUGCUCUAAAGAGCGUGGUUUUAACUGCAGCUGUAUACCGCACGAAUCUGUGGGCCAGCAUGUUCGCCUUUACCGCCAGCGCUCUGCGCUCCCGCUCUACAUCGACAUCAUCUUUUAAAUUAUCUGUUAUACAGUGGCCUAGAUACUUAUACUGACUUACUCUACUAACUGGAACUCCGUUUAGUAAUACAGGUAGUGACAUAUCCGGGCCUUCCGUACUCGGAGCCCUAAAUAUACCAUAUACACCGUCUUAUUACGCAAAUUGUACACGAGGCCGUGAGAAAGAGCAUAUUUUUCACAAAUACUAAUCAAUUUAUUGAGUGCACCGACCGAUGGAGCCAACAGCGCCAUGUUAUCUGCGUAACUAAUUGUUAUGGCUAACGCCGUCUAUAAAGCACCCCGCGUGCUCGCUGCUCACAAACGCAAAACACAAAGUUUGAAAGAUCUCACGUGAGAUUAGGGCACGGGGAGGGACGAGUCGAGACAAAUCUUAUGACGUCUCCCGGAAGAGGUAUCAAAAAAUACGCAAAAACGCCUCACGUAAUUAAUGGACGCCCCUUAACUGUCAAACUGUCCAUAGAAUGAAAUUCUAGCGAAGUAAACAAUCGUUGGCAUAACACCCGCAUAUUCGCAUACGAGAAAUCUUUGUAAUCAUAAUCAACUCUUUUCUUGUAACAAGGCGUCAUUGUUAUCAAUCAUAUC